UACGUAGGUGGAAAUCGUUGUCCGGAAUUACUGGGCGUAAAGGGCGUGUAGGCGGGGCGGCAAGUCAGAUGUGAAAUCCCAUGGCCUAACUGUGGAGCUGCAUCUGAAACUGUCGUUCUUGAGUGUCGGAGAGGAAAGUGGAAUUCCCAGUGUAGCGGUGAAAUGCGUAGAGAUUGGGAGGAACACCAGUGGCGAAGGCGGCUUUCUGGACGAUAACUGACGCUGAGGCGCGAAAGCGUGGGGAGCAAACAGG
rnacentral:rRNA from 1 species